rnacentral:rRNA from 1 species
CCUACGGGUGGCAGCAGUGGGGAAUAUUGCACAAUGGGGGAAACCCUGAUGCAGCGACGCCGCGUGAAGGAAGAAGUAUUUCGGUAUGUGAACUUCUAUCAGCAGGGAAGAAAGUGACGGUACCUGACUAAGAAGCCCCGGCUAACUACGUGCCAGCAGCCGCGGUAAUACGUAGGGGGCAAGCGUUAUCCGGCUUUCUUGGGUUUAAAGGGUGCGCAGGCGGUUUGGCAAGUCAGCCGUGAAAACCCGGGGCUCAACCCCGGGCCGCCUGUGGAAAUUGCCGGUCGGGAGUUGAGGAGAGGUAUGCGGAAUGCGCAGUGUAGCGGUGAAAUGCAUAGAUAUCACGCAGAACUCCGAUUGCGAAGGCAGCAUGCCGGCUCCAAACUGACGCUGAGGCACGAAAGCGUGGGUAUCGAACAGGAUUAGAUACCCCUGUAGUC